AGGGAGACACAACUGAUCGUGAUGUCUGAGCGCCGACCAAGCAUAAGUUUGGGAAGCAUAUUUGUCUUAGGCCACGGUCCUGUCAUCUCGAAGGUCGAUCGGUACCUCAAGGUGAGCCAUCAAAGCCARGGAGAAGUCUAAAGAGCUCGAAAGAGCAGGAAGGAUUGUUCUAAGGAUGUUGUGAUGGACUUAUUUUCAGUUCCUAAACUUUGUCUAGGUCACCCCACAAAGGGUUUCCGCACUUUACCGAGAUUCAAGCUUAAAAAGCAAUGAAUCGAGGGARCAGAUCGGGAGCUUGUGUCGAAGUGAUUGAUCCUGGGCCAUUAGCUCAGGUGGUUAGAGCGCACCCCUGAUAAGGGUGAGGUCCCUGGUUCAAGUCCAGGAUGGCCCAUUCGUGUUUGGGGGUUUAGCUCAGUKGKUAGAGCGCCUGCUUUGCAAGCAGRAKKYMRSSGGUUCGAGUCCGCUAACCUCCAUCCAACGAGGAGAAAGCCACCAGCAGGAAACGGCAACAGGAUGCAUUUUGAUAGGUGAGGUGACAAAGACCAUGUUCAGCUGAGGACUCCAGCCUCUUUUCAUUCCCAAUUGAUAGCUUGCUAUUUUAAGUAAGUUUAAAUCAAUGAUGGUUGAAAGGAAGCUGGACUCGCUGAUUUUGGCAUCCGCCAAGGAUCAGUGACUCUAGCAAAGAACCUUGACAACUGCAUAGGUGAGUCUGGAUAAAUAAGCAUCUCAUAGAUGCCCAGACGGACGCGAACGAUACUUGGUACUGCCAGGUGUGGAGAGUGUCUGGCUGGGAGAUUCUUGAGUUUAGAGCCGAGAGCUUCCAGCGUCUUUUCGCUCCGCCGAGGAGGGAAGAGUUUGAUUUUGUCUUUCAAACCAUCAAAGCCCAAGAGAGCUAGGGAAACCAAGUAAUCAAAGGGUAGAGAGAAGUGAAAGCAAAAGAAUGGGUCUCAACAACCCUGAACGUUGGGAGUGUUAAUU
rnacentral:misc_RNA from 1 species